AUCGAACGCUGGCGGCAGGCCUAACACAUGCAAGUCGAACGAGUGGCGGACGGGUGAGUAAUGUCUGGGAAACUGCUUGAUGGAGGGGGAUAACUACUGGAAACGGUAGCUAAUACCGCAUACCAUCGGAUGUGCCCAGAUGUGAUUAGGUAGUAGGUGGGGUAAAGGCUCACCUAGGCGACGAUCCCUAGCUGGUCUGAGAGGAUGACCGGCCACACGGGAAAUGGGACAGGGUCCAGACUCCUACGGGAGGCAGCAGUGGGGAAUAUUGCACAGUGAGCGCAAGCCUGAUGGAGCCAUGCCGCGUGUAUGAAGAAGGCCUUCGAGGUGUAAGGUACUUUCAGCGAGGAGGCGUUACCCGCAGAAGAAGCGCCGGCUAACUCCGUGCCAGCAGCCGCGGUAAUUC
rnacentral:rRNA from 1 species